rnacentral:lncRNA from 1 species
AGGAUAACAGAUCGGACGCGCAUCUGGUUGACUUUCCUGCCUCUCCUCCUCUCCUGCAGUGGCUCGGUGAAUACGCUGUUCCGCUGCUAAGAACGAGGUUGCCGGCUCAAUUCCUGGCUGCGACGAAAGGAAGUCGUAUAAGCGUGAGCUGAAGAAACCGAGAAAAAGACGGGCUAUGAGCAGCCGCAUCACGGCACUGUGUAUAGCCGGACUGAGCUGACGACGAUGUUGGUUGAUGCACGCUGCACGCACCGACCCUGCGAUGCUCAUCGGCACAGCGAGACGCCGUUGCCACUGUUGCCUGGCGUUGCCUCCGCGCUCGAUUUGUUUGUUGCUCUCGCCCUCCUUCCCCUCCUCCACCAACCGCGGCAGCCACGCACCACUCAAUUCCGCGGCGGUCUGUUGCAACGUGUCCCGACGUUGAUCAAUAAUGAUGGACUUUUUUGGACGAAGAACGAUCGCUCCUCUAAGCGAUGACCGUAUAGAAACGAUGGCGACGACUUCAGCGACUUGCCUGCGGGGGAAACACCAAAUAGCUCUCAGCGACCGCGGAGGCUGGCGCAUUGCUGGGACGAGGAUCGUUUUCGCGACUGGACCGUUAUUCAAUAGUACGCCGCGGUACGGGGGCCUCGGGGAAACUGGAGGCAACAAACAAACACGCAAAAAGCGAGUAAGCGGAGGGACGGAGAGACAGGCUACGUCUUAUUGGCCAUUGUCUUUCAGCGAGGAAAACGCAUUAUUCUACUUUAGAAGCGGUUUGGCGGUACCCGCCGUUUCGUCUUGUUGAACCAGCACUACGAGAAAUUCCAAAAAAAAAAAAGA